rnacentral:tRNA from 1 species
GCCUUGAUGGUGAAAUGGUAGACACGCGAGACUCAAAAUCUCGUGCUGAAGAGCGUGGAGGUUCG